CCGGAAUAGCUCAGUUGGUAGAGCAGAGGACUGAAAAUCCUCGUGU
rnacentral:tRNA from 4 species